rnacentral:pre_miRNA from 1 species
UACCUACUCCCUCCGUUCGGAAUUACUUGUCUCGGAAAUGGAUAUAUCUAGAACUAAAAUGCGUCUAGAUACAUCCAUUUCUGCGGCAAGUAAUUCCGAACGGAGGGAGUAUAAA